CCUACGGGAGGCAGCAGGGGGGAAUAUUGGGCAAUGGGCGAAAGCCUGAUCCAGCCAUGCCGCGUGUGUGAAGAAGGUCUUCGGAUUGUAAAGCACUUUAAGUUGGGAGGAAGGGCAUUAACCUAAUACGUUAGUGUUUUGACGUUACCGACAGAAUAAGCACCGGCUAACUCUGUGCCAGCAGCCGCGGUAAU
rnacentral:rRNA from 1 species